rnacentral:rRNA from 1 species
GAUCCUGCCAGUAGUCAUAUGCUUGUCUCAAAGAUUAAGCCAUGCAUGUCUAAGUACAAGCCGAUUUAAGGCGAAACCGCGGACGGCUCAUUAAAUCAGAUAUAAUUCAUUGGAUCUGUAAAACCCAUUUACUUGGAUAACUGUGGUAAUUCUAGAGCUAAUACACGCAUUCAGAGUCUCUGACAGCAAUGGAAGAGCGCUUUUAUUAGUUCAAAACCUUUCGGACCUUGGGCCAAACCAAAACCUUGGUGAAUCUAGAUAACUUCGGCUGAGCGCACGAUCAUCCUUAGCCCUCCAAGGCUAACGGAGUCGGCGCCGCAUCCUGCAAGUGUCUGCCUUAUCAGCUCUCGAUUGUAGGUCAAACGCCUACAGUGGCUAUAACGGGUAACGGGGAAUCAGGGUUCGAUUCCGGAGAGGGAGCCUGAGAAACGGCUACCACAUCUAAGGAAGGCAGCAGGCGCGCAAAUUACCCACUCCCGGCACGGGGAGGUAGUGACGAAAAAUACUGUUGCGAGACUCAAACGAGGCUUCGCAAUUGGAAUGAGUACACUUUAAAUCCUUGUACGAGGAUCAAGUGGAGGGCAAGUCUGGUGCCAGCCGCCGCGGUAAUUCCAGCUCCAUUAGCGUAUAUUAAAGCUGUUGCGGUUAAAACGCUCGUAGUUUGCCCUCUGCUCCGGACUGGCGGUUCGCCUUAGCGGCGUUUACUGCACAGCUCCGAGCUAUGUCCCGGUCGGCUCGCUUGGGGUGCUCUUCGCCGAGUGUCCCUCGUGGCCAACGAGUUUACUUUGAAAAAAUUAGAGUGCUCAGAGCAGGCUAUACUAAGGCCUGAAUGGUGGUGCAUGGAAUGAUGGAAUAGGACCUCGGUUCUAUUUUGUUGGUUUUCGGAACCCGAGGUAAUGAUUAAGAGAAGCAGACGGGGGCAUUCGUACUGCGACGAUAGAGGUGAAAUUCUUAGACCGUCGCAUGACGAGCUACUGCGAAAGCAUCUGCCAAGGAUGUUUUCAUUAAUCAAGAACGAAAGUUAGAGGUUCGAAGGCGAUCAGAUACCGCCCUAGUUCUAACCAUAAACGUUGCUGACUAGCGAUCCGCCGGAGUUAUUCCCAUGACCCGGCGGGUAGCUUCCGGGAAACCAAAGUAUUUGAGUUCCGGGGGAAGUAUGGUUGCAAAGCUGAAACUUAAAGGAAUUGACGGAAGGGCACCACCAGGAGUGGAGCCUGCGGCUCAAUUUGACUCAACACGGGGAAUCUUACCAGGCCCGGACACUGGAAGGAUUGACAGAAUGAAAGCUCUUUCUCGAUUCGGUGGGUGGUGGUGCAUGGCCGUUCUUAGUUGGUGGAGCGAUUUGUCUGGUUAAUUCCGAUAACGAACGAGACUCUAGCCUAUUAACUAGUCGACGGAUCUUUUAUUUAAUCCGUUAUCCAAAGUGGGUGGGGCCGUCACAUCCUCCUCCGGGGGGGUUGGCGGUCUUCCCAUUCCAAUAAUGGUGUCCCAGUUCGCAAUUUCUUCUUAGAGGGAUAAGCGGCAGCAAAAAACAUACUAGCCGCACGAGAUUUUGAGCCAUAACAGGUCUGUGAUGCCCUUAGAUGUUCUGGGCCGCACGCGCGCUACAAUGGAGAGUUCAGCGAGCUCUCCCUGCUCCGACAGGAGCGGGUAACCUUAUCAAAGCUGUCCUUAAAGGGGAUUGGGGCUUGCAAAUGUGUCCCAUGAACGAGGAAUUCCCAGUAGGUGCAAUUCACCAGAUUGCGCCGAUUUAGUCCCUGCCCUUUGUACACACCGCCCGUCGCUACUACCGAUUGAAUGGUCUAGUGAGGGCACCGGACUGGCGCCCUUGGAGUAGCGCCCGUUCUCUCUCCCUCUCUCGUUCGCGGGAAGGGAGGAACGGGCCUCCUGCUCCUCGGGUCGACGGAAAGGCGUCCGAGCUGGGUCAUUUAGAGGAAGUAAAAGUCGUAACAAGGUUUCCGUAGGUGAACCUGC